rnacentral:rRNA from 1 species
GACGAACGCUGGCGGCGUGCUUAACACAUGCAAGUCGAACGGAAAGGCCCUGCUUUUGUGGGGUGCUCGAGUGGCGAACGGGUGAGUAACACGUGAGUAACCUGCCCUUGACUUUGGGAUAACUUCAGGAAACUGGGGCUAAUACCGGAUAGGAGCUCCUGCUGCAUGGUGGGGGUUGGAAAGUUUCGGCGGUUGGGGAUGGACUCGCGGCUUAUCAGCUUGUUGGUGGGGUAGUGGCUUACCAAGGCUUUGACGGGUAGCCGGCCUGAGAGGGUGACCGGCCACCAUGGGCCUACGAUACGGCGCAGACGCCUACGGGAGGCAGCAGUAGGGAGGAUUGUACAAUGAGCGGAAGCCUGAUGAAGCAACGCCGCGGGCGGGAUGACGGCCUUCGGGUUGUAAACCGCUGUCGCCUGUGACGAAGCGUGAGUGACGGUAAUGGGUAAAGAAGCACCGGCUAACUACGUG